rnacentral:sRNA from 1 species
AGAAUGACCACAACCUCUUCAGUAGAAGGUAAACAGAAUCUGGUGAUUAUGGGUAAGAAAACCUGGUUCUCCAUUCCUGAGAAGAAUCGACCUUUAAAGGAUAGAAUUAAUUUAGUUCUCAGCAGAGAACUCAAGUAAGUACCUUAACAUAAAUUCACCACAAGAAAAUCAUGUCUCAUAGUGGAGAUCAGUAUAUGAUAAAAUGAAAUUGUAUAAAAGGAGCUAUUGAUGAAGCUGCUUAAUAUCACAAAGGUGAUUAUAGAAAAUUAAUAAGCAGUUAUUUAUACUACAUGACAAUAACUUAUUCCACUACCUGAGUAAUUCAUUUCAUCACCUUGAAAAGUUACAUUAAAUAGCUCACUGUGGUAUCAGAUUUGCAAGUUAUCUUGAACCAUCAUUCAGUAGGCCCAAAUAUAAAUUAUACAGUGUAAUCAAUAACUUGUAGUUUCACAUAAAGUUAAAAAAACUAUUUUUUGGGACUUGCUAAAAUUAAGUGAUGAUCCCCUUUCUGGACCCAACCCUAAAUGCAAUAAAAUGUGAAUUUUAGGUUGGGCUGAAAUGGGUCAUAAUCUUCU